UGGACGUGCUGUUGAGUUGAGUGUCUUUACCUCUAGGGCAACAUGGCAGGUGUAAUGGGUGUCACUAUAUUUAUAUCAUUUGUUUCGGUAGCCGUCGCUCUUGGGUCCUCUGGAGCCCCAUCAUCAACCUUGACAGUGACUCCAACGAAGGCAACCACCAGGAAUACCCCAACAUUGUCUGUCACCAUCCCCACAGUGGUCCCUGCCAUGCCGACCAGUAGAACAAGUUCAUCAGUCAGUGAAGCACCUAAUACAGAUCCUACUGGUGACACUAGAGUCCCAAUGGAAUCAUCCCCUUCAUCACCUACAACUGAGCCUUCUCAAUCCUCUCAGCCACUGACUCCAUCCCAAGCAUCCAACGGCAGCACCACCACACAGACCUCUACAGGUUUUACAGCUAACACUACUAUGAAUCAGACCCUAACUGGAACAGUUGGUCAUGACUCAACAUCCUCAAUCUUCUCAUCAACUUUGUCACCAAGCUCUGAUUUUACGACAGGGAACAUGAGCUCAAGCACAGCCUUAGAAAGUGAUGGGAGACAUGUCAUAUCAAGGAGUCCGGGCCUCGUAGCAGUCCUCUGCAUAUUCUGCAUCUGUCUGGGUCUUCU